GGGCCUUUAGCUCAGCUGGGAGAGUGCUUCGCUGGCAGCGAUGAGGUCAGGGGUUCGAUCCCCCUAGGCUCCA
rnacentral:tRNA from 1 species